rnacentral:rRNA from 1 species
GAGAGUUUGAUCCUGGCUCAGGAUGAACGCUGGCGGUAUGCUUAACACAUGCAAGUCGAACGGUCUCUUCGGAGAUAGUGGCGGACGGGUGAGUAACGCGUGAGAAUCUGGCUUCAGGUCGGGGACAACCACGGGAAACUGUGGCUAAUACCGGAUAUGCCGAGAGGUGAAAGGCUUGCUGCCUGAAGAUGAGCUCGCGUCUGAUUAGCUAGUAGGUGUGGUAAAAGCGCACCUAGGCGACGAUCAGUAGCUGGUCUGAGAGGAUGAUCAGCCACACUGGGACUGAGACACGGCCCAGACUCCUACGGGAGGCAGCAGUGGGGAAUUUUCCGCAAUGGGCGAAAGCCUGACGGAGCAAUACCGCGUGAGGGAGGAAGGCUCUUGGGUUGUAAACCUCUUUUCUCAGGGAAGAAAAAAAUGACGGUACUUGAGGAAUAAGCAUCGGCUAACUCCGUGCCAGCAGCCGCGGUAAUACGGAGGAUGCAAGCGUUAUCCGGAAUGAUUGGGCGUAAAGGGUCCGCAGGUGGCUAUGUAAGUCUGCUGUUAAAGAACCUAGCUUAACUAGGUAAAAGCAGUGGAAACUACAAGGCUGGAGUGCGUUCGGGGUAGAGGGAAUUCCUGGUGUAGCGGUGAAAUGCGUAGAUAUCAGGAAGAACACCAGUGGCGAAGGCGCUCUACUAGGCCGCAACUGACACUGAGGGACGAAAGCUAGGGGAGCGAUGGGAUUAGAUACCCCAGUAGUCUAGCCGUAAACGAUGGAUACUAGGCG